AAAGAGGUGGCCGCGAUGGAGCGGCAGCGGAGAAAAUGGGUCAGGAGAGGAGCGGUUACCUGGUCAUGCUGGCUCCCCGGUCCCAGCUCCCCCCGCCCCCCCUCCCUCCCCCCCCCCCCCCGCCGCCGCCCCCCGCCGCCACCUCCUCCUGCUGCUCACACUCGUCUCCGAAGGCGCCCAAUUUAAUCCAAGCUCCGCAACAGCAGCAGCUACGAGCGGAGCUGCCGGCCGCUGCUGCCGUCACGGGUGUGAGUCUCACACUCUGGCGCUGAGGAGUAGGAGAGAGUCAACGAGAGUCCGAAAAUCCAGCAUCCAGCAGAGCCAGGUCUCCGCCUGCCUCUUCUUCGAGCGCCCCCUCUCCUUUCCUCUCCUCCGCUUCGCUCUUUUUUUUUCUCCUUCUUCCUGCGGCGGUGGCUGCUGCUGCUGCUCCCGGGCGCGCUCUCUGUUCCCGAUCCGGUUCCCCUCCUCCUCCUUCUCCUCCUCCUGCUCCUCCUCCUCCUCCCCCCCCCUCUCUCCUUCUUCCUUCCCCCUUCGCCUUUUUUUCCUUUCUUUCUUCCUUCUUCUCUCUUUCAGCAGAUUAUUUGCCUACAAAUAGCAGCGAGAUCGCCCACCGAGGCUCCAACUCUACCGGCCCUCCUCCGGGAGAAGAAAAAAAAAAAAAAAAAGUGCUGUGCAAACAAAAUCAAGGGGGGGAUGGCGCGGGGCGUACAAAAAUACUGGGGAACCUUCCUCGAGAGCCACGGCACCGGCAGCCCCUCCCUGCCCGCUCGCUCCUCCGAGGGAGCACGGGGGCAGCGGGGCAAGCGGUGCGGCGAACGCGCUGCUGGAGAUGGCACUCUCUUCCUCCCACUGUUUUGUGCGCGGUUUGUUGGUGGUGGUUGGUUGUUGUUUGUUUUUAAUCCUCUUAGGCUGUGUGGAUCGCAGGAUAUGUACGGCCUCGAGUGUUGGGAAAAGCUUGUUGUCGACCUCUGGUAGAGUGAGUGAGGGAACGAGCGACGCAACGAGCUCUGCCUGGAUGGAACAGCAGCAGCCAGCGCCCACUCCGGCCUGCCCCGCCGGCUGGAGGGGCACGCGAACCCCACGCCGAAAGAAUACAUGCACACGCACACACACACACACACGCACUCCACGUACGCACACGCGGGGGGAGGUGGAGAGGGAGGGUGACGUCACUCCGGCCCGGGGCGCAUCCCGGCGGGCAGCGGGCGGGGCAGGGCUGGGCCGCGCUGCUUCUGGCUGUCCGGACCCUCCGACUUCGGCAAGUCGUGAUGCUCGUCGUCUCCCUCCCUCAAAACUUCCCUCGCUCUUUAUCUUGACCAUUGUUGUGGUAUUUGCCUCUGAGAAAAAUUUCAAAUCUAAUUCUGAAUGGUAAGUAACAAUCUCUUCUUGUGACGUUUGGAUUGUUUUUCUCAGGGAGCAUUUUCUUCACAAUUAUUGCAUGC
rnacentral:lncRNA from 1 species